rnacentral:rRNA from 1 species
AUUGAACGCUGGCGGCAGGCCUAACACAUGCAAGUCGAGCGGUAACAGGACUAGCUUGCUAGUUGCUGACAAGCGGCGGACGGGUGCGUAACACGUAGGAAUCUACCCAGUAGCGGGGGAUAGCCCGGAGAAAUCCGGAUUAAUACCGCAUACGCCCUACGGGGGAAAGCAGGGGAUCUUCGGACCUUGCACUAUUGGAUGAGCCUGCGUCGGAUUAGCUUGUUGGUGAGGUAAAGGCUCACCAAGGCGACGAUCCGUAGCUGGUCUGAGGGGAUGAUCAGCCACACUGGGACUGAGACACGGCCCAGACUCCUACGGGAGGCAGCAGUGGGGAAUAUUGCACAAUGGGCGAAAGCCUGAUGCAGCCAUGCCGCGCGUGUGAAGAAGCUCUAGGGUUGUAAAGCACUUUCAGCGAGGAAGAAAGGUUGAUGAUUAAUACUCAUUAGCUGUGACGUUACU